AAGUCGUAGCAAGGUUUCCGUAGGUGAACCUGCGAAAGGAUCAUUAAAAGUGAUUGGUUAUACAUUUCAUGUAUCAACUGCAUUAACCCAUUCCGAGUACCUUGCCUGUUGCUUCCAUGGGGCCUGCACCUAGGUCAUCUCUUGUGAUGUAGCAAAACCCAAGAGCAGGUACCCAUGGGAUAGGUAAUCAUUAAAUUCAUGUAUCCAAUGUCUUCUGUACUGAACUUGUUUAUAACAGUUAGUUUAAAA
rnacentral:misc_RNA from 1 species